UAUGGAUAUCCGACGCUUCUUCAAGCGUCCACGGAUGUCUGACGGAGUGUCACUGAGCUGUCCGGCGGACGAUUCUAGUGUGGCGUGUGACGAUUUUGCAGAAGUUGACCAGCCUAGUGAUGCAGACUUUCACCAACGGACAGUGCCUGAGGUCGUCGCCACCAUGGAAGAGGUUCCACCAUCAGUGAGCUACCACGACACAAGCGUUUACAGCAAAGA
rnacentral:lncRNA from 1 species